rnacentral:misc_RNA from 1 species
GAUGAAGAACGUAGCAAAAUGCGAUACUUGGUGUGAAUUGCAGAAUCCCGUGAACCAUCGAGUUUUUGAACGCAAGUUGCGCCCGAAGCCUUUUGGCCGAGGGCACGUCUGCCUGGGCGUCACGCAUCGCGUCGCCCCCCACAAUUCUCCGUAAAGGGAACAUGUGUUUUGGGGGCGGAUAUUGGUCUCCCGUGCUCAUGGCGUGGUUGGCCGAAAUAGGAGUCCUUUCGAUGGACGCACGAACUAGUGGUGGUCGUAAAAACCCUCGUCUUUUGUUUCGUGCUGUUGCUCGCAAGGUAAACUCUUUAAAAACCCCAAUGUGUCGUCUCUUGACGACGCUUCGACCGCGACCCCAGGUCGGGCGGGACUACCCGCUGAGUUUAAGCAUAUCAAUAAGCGGAGGA